CCUACGGGAGGCAGCAGUGGGGAAUAUUGGACAAUGGGCGGAAGCCUGAUCCAGCAAUACCGCGUGUGUGAAGAAGGCCUGUGGGUUGUAAAGCACUUUCAGCGAGGAGGAAGGUUGUAUGGUUAAUACCCAUGCGAUUUGACGUUACUCGCAGAAGAAGCACCGGCUAACUCUGUGCCAGCAGCCGCGGUAAUACAGAGGGUGCAAGCGUUAAUCGGAAUUACUGGGCGUAAAGAGUGCGUAGGCGGAUAUUUAAGUCAUAUGUGAAAGCCCCGGGCUUAACCUGGGAAUUGCAUCUGAUACUGGGUAUCUAGAGUGUGGUAGAGGAUAGUGGAAUUUCUGGUGUAGCGGUGAAAUGCGUAGAUAUCAGAAGGAACACCAGUGGCGAAGGCGACUGUCUGGGCCAACACUGACGCUGAGGUACGAAAGCGUGGGUAGCGAACGGGAUUAGAUACCCUGGUAGUCCACGCCGUAAACGAUGAGAACUAGCUGUUGGGGAUAUAAAAAUUCCAAGUAGCGCAGCUAACGCGAUAAGUUCUCCGCCUGGGGAGUACGGCCGCAAGGCCUAAACUCAAAUGAAUUGACGG
rnacentral:rRNA from 1 species